rnacentral:rRNA from 1 species
UACAGAGGGUGCGAGCGUUGUCCGGAAUCACUGGGCGUAAAGGGCGCGUAGGUGGCCAACUAAGUCAGACGUGAAAUCCCUCGGCUUAACCGGGGAACUGCGUCUGAUACUGGAUGGCUUGAGUUUGGGAGAGGGACGCGGAAUUCCAGGUGUAGCGGUGAAAUGCGUAGAUAUCUGGAGGAACACCGGUGGCGAAGGCGGCGUCCUGGACCAACACUGACACUGAUGAGCGAAAGCCAGGGGAGCAAACGGG